rnacentral:rRNA from 1 species
CCUACGGGUGGCAGCAGUAGGGAAUAUUGCUCAAUGGGGGAAACCCUGAAGCAGCAACGCCGCGUGGGGGAUGAAGGUUUUCGUAUUGUAAACCCCUUUUGUUAGAGAAGAUAAUGACGGUAUCUACCGACUAAGCACCGGCUAACUCCGUGCCAGCAGCCGCGGUCAUACGGAGGGGGCAAGCGUUACUCGGAAUCACUGGGCGUAAAGAGCGCGUAGGCGGGAGAGCAAGUCAGAUGUGAAAUCCUAUGGCUUAACCCUAGAACUGCAUUUGAAACUGUUAUUCUAGAGUAUGGGAGAGGUAGGUGGAAUUCUUGGUGUAGGGGUAAAAUCCGUAGAGAUCAAGAGGAAUACUCAUUGCGAAGGCGACAUGCUAGAACAUAACUGACGCUGAGGCGCGAAAGCGUGGGGAGCAAACAGGAUUAGAUACCCUGGUAGUC